rnacentral:lncRNA from 1 species
GGCGGGGCCGAGGGGGCCAAGCCCGCGGGGGGGAGGGGCGGUGUCGGUCACGUGACGCGGUUUCACUGUUUACACGCGGAGCGGCCAGAGCUUUCGGCCUCAGUCAGGCGCUCGGCUCCGUUUCGGUU